rfam:Capsella rubella cultivar Monte Gargano unplaced genomic scaffold scaffold_8, whole genome shotgun sequence.
AACCCGUGAUGGGGACAUUGCGAUUGAUAUCCCUUGAAUCUCUCCCAAGCCUAACAAAAUAUCUUGUUGUGCUUCUGGGCAAAGCUAGAUAUCUCAUUCUAGAGACG